AACCACUGCUGCCCCGGCUACAAUUGUGCAGCCACCAUCAGUUGGCUACUUGUCAGAGCCCAGAACCACUCUUGCCCCAGCUCCAGGCCAGCCAAGUGCAGUGGACUGCUUGUCAGAGCCUAGUACCAGUUGCACACAAGUGCAGAGCACUUCAAGGGCUUGGACACCAGAGCCAGUGCCUGAAGAUGGCUUAUGCAACGAGAUGCCAGGCAUGGUGCCAAGUGACUUCG